UCUGGAGGUGUCCUAGCCAUGUGCCUACCUGUAGUUGGUUCUGGAGGUGUCCUAGCCAUGUGCCUACCUGUAGUUGGUUCUGGAGGUGUCCUAGCCAUGUGCCUACCUGUAGUUGGUUCUGGAGGUGUCCUAGCCAUGUGCCUACCUGUAGUUGGUUCUGGAGGUGUCCUAGCCAUGUGCCUACCUGUAG